UAGGGAAUCUUCGGCAAUGGACGAAAGUCUGACCGAGCAACGCCGCGUGAGUGAAGAAGGUUUUCGGAUCGUAAAACUCUGUUGUUAGAGAAGAACAAGGACGUUAGUAACUGAACGUCCCCUGACGGUAUCUAACCAGAAAGCCACGGCUAACUACGUGCCAGCAGCCGCGGUAAUACGUAGGUGGCAAGCGUUGUCCGGAUUUAUUGGGCGUAAAGCGAGCGCAGGCGGUUUCUUAAGUCUGAUGUGAAAGCCCCCGGCUCAACCGGGGAGGGUCAUUGGAAACUGGGAGACUUGAGUGCAGAAGAGGAGAGUGUAAUUCCAUGUGUAGCGGUGAAAUGCGUAGAUAUAUGGAGGAACACCAGUGGCGAAUGCGGCUCUCUGGUCUGUAACUGACGCUGAGGCUCGAAAGCGUGGGGAGCAAACAGG
rnacentral:rRNA from 1 species